AUACAGGUAUUGUUUAGUAAUUUCAAUGAAAUAUUGUUUGCAUGAAAACAAUAGUCAUAAUACAUUUUCAAAAAUUAUCAAAAACUAUUAAUGUAAUGUGCUUUUCUCUCUCUCUUGUUUUAUGUUAUUUUCCAUCUUACUGUGUUGGCCAGAUGGUCAAUCACUCACUUAUUACCUUGGUGGAUCUUGAUCCUAUACCUCCAAAUUUUCAGAUGGGAUUUGGAUCCAACCUGUUGUAUUCUAUCCUUCAAUAUUCUUAUUGACUCCAUCAUAGGUAUUUGUCAGUCUUUGAUAGCUUCUAAAAGUGGUCACUACCAGAUACAGUACAAUAUAUCCAAUGGUGUCAUUCAAAAUAAUUAAUAACUGAUUCUAUUUUUCUGAAAGAGAAAUUAUCUGCAACUAAUCAUAUAAAAUGGUAAUGAUGAUAAUCAGAGAGGCAGUGGUAGCUUUUUUUAAACUUAAUGAGUCAGGCAGUAAACUAAGGGAAUAGUAAAUAAUUAGAAAUAUAAAAUGUAAGGGUAAUAGUCUUAACUAAUAACAAAUAAUAAAUUCAAAUACAGUAAAACCUGUCUUGAGAGACCACCUCUAAUUCAAUCAAAAAGUGGUCUCACAUAACAGGUGGU
rnacentral:lncRNA from 1 species